UGCUCACUCAACCAAGAGUACAGAGAAAGAUAGAUCUGCGCCUGUUUACAUUUCUCAGCCAUUGAUAUGUUCAAUAAUAUACAUAUACUUUAAAAGACUCCUAAAGGAAAUAUGAUGGCUUUUAGUAUUAAAAGUGGAAGAAAAUUACAGGUAAUUAUCUUUGACGGUAAAAAAGCUGUAAUCAGCGGGCUACAUCAAAAAUUACCCUAAUUAUGCCUACAUUUACGAGAAAGGGGAAAAAACCUUCUUGUGGAUAAAAACCAUAAAUUGUCCUAAAUAUCAGCUUCAGAAUGGACAGGGCUGCAGCUGGAUGCUUUGUUCGGAAUUAAUCCUGUGGAGCCUGGCAUUCAGUAUUUCACAGUGAGAGGGGAAAAAAGAGAAAAGAAAAACAGUUUGUCAAUACUGUACUGCAACGAGUGUGCUAGAAAAUGACAAGAUUGACUGGCCAUGAAGCACCAAAGACCGAACACAAGAUUAGUAUAGAUAGGAGAACAUCAGCCAGGUUGGCCGCAGUGAAAGAUGGUCAGAGAAGUCACAUUCAGAACCCGCAGAGCCAUCCUGGUGCUAUUAGACUUGUGCUAAUAAUAGGUGUUUCAUCGCAGGAAGAUCAAUCAUGUUGAAUUUUCCAAGGGAUGGCUUUAGAUCCACAUGUGUCCCAAUGGAUCAAAUUACACUCUUUUUAGCUGCAUUACUUUGAAAUUGGUUGCCCUUUUUUUUAUAUAUGUGUCAAUGGACAUCUAAACUGAUUUUUUGUUUCAAUCUCUUGUCAGCUGAAUAUGUAAAGAUUUGAAAAUGCAUGUAUUUUACUGUAUUAUGUAUGCAUUUUAUUGCCAUCCAAACUCAAAUGUAGGUUAUUCAACAAUAAACCACAAUGCUGAUUCCA